rnacentral:rRNA from 1 species
ACACGUAGGGAGCGAGCGUUGUCCGGAAUUACUGGGUGUAAAGGGUGCGUAGGCGGGUAUGCAAGUCAUAUGUGAAAUACCGGGGCUUAACUCCGGGGCUGCAUAAGAAACUGUAUAUCUUGAGUGCAGGAGAGGUAAGCGGAAUUCCUAGUGUAGCGGUGAAAUGCGUAGAUAUUAGGAGGAACACCAGUGGCGAAGGCGGUUUACUGGACUGAAACUGACGCUGAGGCACGAAAGCGUGGGGGCAAACAGGAUUAGAUACCCUGGUAGUCCACGCUGUAAACGAUGGAUACUAGGUGUAGGAGGUAUCGACCCCUUCUGUGCCGCAGUCAACACAAUAAGUAUCCCACCUGGGGAGUACGACCGCAAGGUUGAAACUCAAAGGAAUUGACGGGG